ACACAGUGCAGACCCUCUCCUCGGAAGACCCAGCUGGAUGCUCAAGAGCAGAGGAUCUAUCAACUGCAGACCAAGCAGAGGGAGAGGCAAGCAGAGCUGGAGCAGAAAUGCAGCCGGAUCCAGCAGCUCAGCCAGGACCUGAGGCCAGCCAUCAGCUGCAGGAGGAAGCUCAGGAGCAGUUGCCAAGAACUGUUCUCACAGGCAGUGUGAAGAGGGGACGCAGAUACCACAGGGCUUCCCAAACUCCGUGAGCCUCCAGGGAUCCACAGCUCAGGCUUCAGAAGCAAGUGGAUUUAGUCAAGCCAAACACAGAGUGC
rnacentral:lncRNA from 14 species